UUUGAUCCUGGCUCAGGACGAACGCUGGCGGCGUGCUUAACACAUGCAAGUCGAACGGAAAGGCCCCUUCGGGGGUACUCGAGUGGCGAACGGGUGAGUAACACGUGGGCAAUCUGCCCUGCACUUCGGGAUAAGCCUGGGAAACUGGGUCUAAUACCGGAUAGGACCUUUAGGCGCAUGUCUUUAGGUGGAAAGCUUUUGCGGUGUGGGAUGGGCCCGCGGCCUAUCAGCUUGUUGGUGGGGUGAUGGCCUACCAAGGCGACGACGGGUAGCCGGGCCUGAGAGGGUGUCCGGCCACACUGGGCACUGAGAUACGGCCCA
rnacentral:rRNA from 1 species